rnacentral:rRNA from 1 species
GACGAACGCUGGCGGCGUGCUUAACACAUGCAAGUCGAACGGAAAGACCCUGCUUUUGUUGGGUGCUCGAGUGGCGAACGGGUGAGUGACACGUGAGUAACCUGCCCUUGUCAUUGGGAUAACUUCAGGGAACUCGGGCUAAUACCGGGUAGGAUCUCCUGCUGCGUGGUGGGGGUUGGUAAGUUUCGGCGUUUGUGGAUGGACUCGCGGCUUACCGGCUUGUUGGUGGGGUAGUGGCGUACCAAGCCUUUGACGGGUAGCCGGCCUGGGAGGUUGACCGGCCACAUGGGGCCUGCGAGACGGCCCAGAAUCCUACCGGACGCAGCAGUGGGGAAUAUGGCACAAUGGGCCGAAGCCUGAUGUAGCAACGCUGCGUGCGGGAUGACGGCCUUCGGGUUGUAAACCGCUGUCGCCGGUGACGAGGAGUUAGUGACGGUAAUGGGUAAGGAAGCACCGGCUAACUACGUG